rnacentral:misc_RNA from 1 species
GAUGAAGAACGUAGCGAAAUGCGAUAAGUAAUGUGAAUUGCAGAAUUCAGUGAAUCAUCGAAUCUUUGAACGCACAUUGCGCCCCUUGGUAUUCCGAGGGGCAUGCCUGUUCGAGCGUCAUUAUAACCCCUCAAGCUCAGCUUGGUGUUGGGGCCUGCUGCACUGGCAGCCCUUAAAAUCAGUGGCGGCGCCAUCUGGCUCUAAGCGUAGUAAUUCUUCUCGCUAUGGAGUCCUGGUGGAUGCUUGCCAUCAACCCCCAAUUUUUCUAUGGUUGACCUCGGAUCAGGUAGGGAUACCCGCUGAACUUAAGCAUAACAAUAAGCGGAGGA